ensembl:lncRNA
GAGAGAUGCUGCUUUUGAAAGGUUUGCUUGUGGAUAGAUGUGUACAAUGGGUUAAAACAUGCUUCUGAAAUGUAAUGGAGCACAAGUAUCACCAGAUAGUUGAUUGGAAAUAUUUAGAUACAUCCCAGCAUGUGUUCUGUAUAGGAAAACAUGCUCAUGACUAAAAUUAUUGUUACCUUUAUUAAUAUGCUGUGUUUGCAGAAAGAGAAAUGGGAGAUUUUGAUGAUGAACCUAAAUUUAAAAUCUAUUUUAUUAAUAUUUCUUUGCAUUUUGUAAGGUUUUGUGUUUAGUUUAUACUUUAUUAAGUAAUCUAGAAGAACAGCCUCUUUACAGUUCCUGCUAGUGGUGCAGGCUCGCCCGCCGGAUCCCCCUCGGCUUCCUCCCCUGCAACCAUCAAACCAACCGCCUCGCUCUCUGGCUCUCUCAGAUUCUCUCUCCACCCCUCUCUCUCUCUCUUUCUCUGGCACGGCACACGGGGCUUAUGUGUCUUGUACUGUACGGAGAGAGAGAGAGAGGGAGCUCUACACUGGGUGACGUCACCUCUCCCAUGGCGUCACAUUGACGUAGCGCAUACCAAGAGCUCUGUGUGGAGGCAGAGCCCACAUAAAUGCACUAUUUGACUUUCUCCCCUCAGACGGCGCACAUAAACAAACGCGCGUUACAAGAGCACACUUUGCAAAGCACCCAUCAGCACUGACACACUCAGCAGCACGGGGACGGACGCAGACGCGCUCUUUAGAGCCACUCGGGAGUUUGAUGAUUUAUUUUUUAUUUCAUUUUCUACUUUUUCUACUUUAGAAAAAGUAAGUGGAAGGAACGGAACUUUUUUUCCUUUCCUUUUCUUUUUCUAAUGCCGACGAAUCCAGCGCCUCUCCGACAUCACUAAGAGUGCUUUUAUUAUUAUUUUUCUUUCCUGUCAUUAUUUCAACUCUUUGCGGUUGUUCUGGAUGGAAAACGGAUACUUCACGCCAAGUUAUUAGCCUACUACAUGUAAAGACGGAACCGCUACAGCAAACAAGCACAGGUUCGGAAGAGCGCGCCCAGCCGAGCUCGGAGCCCCGGCGAUCGGACACUUCCUUAGCGACGCCCGCCGAGCCCUCCCCGCUCCAGGAGCCCUGCCCCGGCCGCAGCCACGCCACCCCUAAAUCCCGGACACCCAGCACCAUUCAGCGCGAGGCUCUUUCACCAGGUACAGAAACAAGCGCUCAGUCUGUCUUCACUUUCAUCUCAUCUUUUUUUUUCUUUCUUUCUUUCUUGUUUAAUCUCCUUCUCAUCUGAUGCUUUUGUAAAGAGUGCAGCGGCUCUGACACUUUCAUUUCGUGUUGCUGUUGUGGAGUGCUUGGUGAUAUGAGUCGGGUGAUUGUUUUAUUGUGGGGAAAAAAGAAAAAAACAACAUUCCCAAAAAUUAAAAUAUAUAUAUAUAUAUAUAUAUAUAUAUAUAUAUAUAUAUAUAUAUAUAUACAUAUAUAUAUAUAAAUCAUUUUAUUUAGUAGUUUAAAACACAGGGGUUAGAUCUGAAUAUCAGCUGGUAGGCAGUCGUUUUAUGUAUGUGUUUUACUCCUGUUAAAGGUCAAAAUAUGACUUGAACUUUCCUGAAUGUUCUGGUGAUCUUUUGUUUGUGCUGCAGCCGUGAGCCCAUGUGUAUGUGUGUGGGUUGAUUUUGUCUGGCAAGUGAGCUGACAUUUCAGUCAUUAAGAUAAGACAAUUCUGAGGCCAGGCACACUUAUAUCCAAAACCUGGAGGCAAAAUGUGAAUCAUAUAUAUAUAUAUUUAUAUAUAAUACAAUCACACAAACACACACACAUAUAUAUAUGUGUGUGUGUGAGAGAGAGAGAGAGAGAGAGAGAGAGAGAGAGAGAGAGAGAGAAUUUUGUCCAUUAUAAUUCAAUAGAGAAACUAGACUGUAUACCCUGAAGUAACUGGUUGUGUAAGUGUCUCUGUGCUUUGUGGUUUUUUUGGGGGGGGGGGUUGUGUGCACAGUGUAAAGGGAACAAAAGUAAAAAUCACUCUACUCAUUGUGGGACGCUGACUCCCCGAAAAUGUUUUAUAGUUUAUUGAUAUAAAA